UUCGCAAUGCCCGAAAGGGUGACGAAGCGACGCCGCGUGAGCGAAGAAGGCCCUAGGGUUGUAAAGCUCUGUCGAGGGUUAUGAAAUAUAGAUGGGUUAAUACCCCAUUUAUUUGACAAAAGCCCAAAAGGAAGCCACGGCUAACUCUGUGCCAGCAGCCGCGGUAAUACAGAGGUGGCAAGCGUUGUUCGGAAUUAUUGGGCGUAAAGAGCACGUAGGUGGGUUUGUAAGUCAGAUGUGAAAGCCUUCUGUUCAACGGAAGAAUUGCAUCUGAAACUGCAAGUCUUGAGUGUAGGAGGGGAGAAUGGAACUUCUGGUGGAGCGGUGAAAUGCGUAGAUAUCAGAAGGAACGUCGGCGGCGAAAGCGACUCUCUGGCCUAUUACUGACACUGAGUGUGCGAAAGUUAGGGGAGCAAACGGGAUUAGAUACCCCGGUAGUCCUAACUGUAAACGAUGGGCACUAAGUAGAGGGGUUUU
rnacentral:rRNA from 2 species